CAGUAGCCGCGGUAAUACGAGGGGGGCAAGCGUUGUUCGGAAUUAUUGGGCGUAAAGGGCGCGUAGGCGGUUUGACAAGUCUUGUGUGAAAUCUCUGGGCUCAACCCAGAGUCUGCACGGGAAACUGUCGGGCUAGAGGAUGGGAGAGGUGAGUGGAAUUUCCGGUGUAGCGGUGAAAUGCGUAGAUAUCGGAAGGAACACCUGUGGCGAAAGCGGCUCACUGGACCAUUACUGACGCUGAGGCGCGAAAGCUAGGGGAGCAAACAGGAUUAGAUACCCCCGUAGUCCCUGUCUCUUAUAC
rnacentral:rRNA from 1 species